CGACCGUCAUCCGGGUGAUUCAUCAUGGCUGCUCUAUUUACAACAUUGUUAUAAUGCUUCAUCGGGCUCCAUUUCCGGAAUUUCCGUGAAGGUUUGUCAUGUUCUUUUAUUUUUUAAACACUUCAGAAAAGGAUCUUUCUAAAACAGUAUCGAUAAUUUAGGUUAAGGUUACGUUGCACAACUAGUGCAGGCGGGAUAACAGAGGUCGUUCAGAUGCUUGAUUCAUUAUAGUUCUUCAAUGCUUCUUUUUGUCCACAUUUGAACAAAUCAACACUCCUACUAUCUGCUUGCUAAAUUAGUUUAAUGCCUUCUCAACUCUUGUAUAUAAACAACUUUAGGUGUUAACUGUAUAUAUGUUACUGUCAUCUAUUAUUCAUUAGGGCAACCUCUUCCACCCUUGUGUUUCAUCAUCAAACCCAGCAACCCAUGUGAUUGCCUCAUACAUUGUCUUCGUGUUGUCAUUUCUUUACCUUUGUUGUUCUUAUAUUCUGCUCAUUAGUAACUUACAACAGCUAAUAAAACGAUAUUUAUUUCUCCUAAAAGAACCUGCUACACUAAAUAGACCCACCUAAUAGUCUUUUGUAGUUUGUCGGACACUGAUUUCUCUCCCUCAUUAUUCUGUUUUCACUAAGUCUUCCACAUUUCUUUUCGUUUCCCUCACUUGUCACCAACAGUUGAGCUAUUAUCGAAGGGAAUUGAAAACAAUGGAGCAGAAAACAAGCGAAAACAAUCCCGAAUAUGAUAUUUUAAACAACAUUAUUGCUUUGAAGACAGUUGACAAAUAUCAUAGCUACAAAUAUAGUAAAAUUCCAAUCCACUUGUGUCAGUCUGGCUUAUUUUUUUGUAUCUAAAUCUGUGAUAAUCCAACUUUAAAUAUUCAUUUACUCAAACGUAUAGAUAUAUAAUAUACGGAUGUGUUUGGGUGUGUACCCUUGACGUAGUGGGGAGUAAUCAAUACAUGUAAUUGAGUAUCAACUUCGAAAUAUGAUUAAUAUAUAUAUGUGUGUGUAUAUAUAUAUAUAUAUAUUGUGUCUGUGUAUAAUUCCUGAAAAAUGUAUAUAUACACAGUCAUAUGCAUAUUUAAAUUAUAUUCGAUAAUAUAAAUAUAGUUCUAUUUUCCCUUCAUGUUUUCCUAUGUCUGAUUUGGAGGUGAGGUUGUUUUCUGAGAAGGAAAUUAGUGUCGAUUCAAACUGUUUAGCAGCUUGUUCAUCUUUGGUUGCAGUAGAAUUAGCUCUCUCUCUCGCUCUCCGUAUGCAUACUAAAAUAAGAUAUCUAUGUAAUGUAGAAAAAAAUACAAGAAAAAUAAAAACGUUUACCUUGAGUAUAUACGGUGUCUUGGUUUGGACAUAUAAACUACAAAACUCAAUACAUGUAAUUUAUGUCUGAAUAUCGGAUGUGUGUGUGCUUAGAUAUGUAUGCAUAACAUGUUGGUUUAUUUCCACUAACACUUGAAGAUCUUAGGAGGCUUAUUAACAAACCUGUCUGUCUCUCAUGUGUCUGUAAUUUUAGACAUAACUUCUGUGGUUAAUUCAAUUACUGGUCAUUUGUAAUGUUAAUAAAACAACAACAUAUAUUGAAUAAGAUUUCAUAAAUUCAUAAGUGUGUGGAAAUAUCUACAUCUACUAUAUAGAUAAAUAUAAUUUUUAGAAAACAAAUCCGUAGAAGCACACACUCUAAGAUAUAUAUAUAUAUAUAUAUAUAUAUAUAUAUAUAUAUGUAUUUGUGUGUGUGUAUGUAUGAAUAUGUAUGUCUAUAUGUAUUUAUGUGUAUGUAUAUAUGUAAGUAUAUAUGUGUAUGUAUGUACAUAUGUAUAUAUAUAUCUAUAUGUAUAUAUAUAUGUAUGUAAUAUAUAUAGAGGCGCAGGAGUGGCAAUAGGCGCAGGAGUGGCUGUGUGGUAAGUAGCUUGUCUACCAACCACAUGGUUCCGGGUUCAGUCCCACUGCGUGGCACCUUGGGCAAGUGUCUUCUACUAUAGCCUCGGGCCGACUUAAGCCUUGUGAGUGGAUUUGGUGGACGGAAACUGAAAGAAGCCCGUCGUAUAUAUGUAUAUAUUUAUUAUAUAUAUAUAUAUAUAUAUAUGCUUGUGUUUGUCCCCUAGCAUUGCUUGACAACCAAUGCUGGUGUGUUUACGUCCCCGUUACUUAGCGGUUCGGCAAAAGAGACCGAUAGAAUAAGUACUGGGCUUACAAAAGAAUAAGUCCCGAUUAAAGGCGGUGCUCCAGCAUGGCCGCAGUCAAAUGACUGAAACAAGUAAAAGAGUAAAGAGUAUAUAUAUAUGUAUGUAUAUGCAUAUAUAUGUAUAUAUAUAUGUAUGUACAUGCAUAUAUAUGUAUAUAUACUCUUUUUACUCUUUUUAAUUGUUUCAGUCAUUUGACUGUGGCCAUACUGGAACACCACCUUCAGUCGAGCAAAUCGACCCCAGGGCUUAUUCUUUGUAAGCCUAGUACUUAUUCUAUUGGUCACUUUUGCCGAACCGCUAAGUUACGGGGACAUAAAUGCACAAGCAUUGGUUGUCAAGCGAUGUUGAGGGUGACAAACACAUACACACGCAUAUAUAUAUAUAUACACACACACACACAUAUAUACGACGGGCGCCUUUCAGUUUCCGUCUACCAAAUCCACUCACAAGGCUUUGGUCGGACCGAGGCUAUAGUACAAGACACUUGCCCAAGGUGCCACGCAGUGGAACUGAACCUGAAACCAUGUGGUUAAUAAGCAAGCUACUUUCCACACAGCCACUCCUGCGCAUGUAUAUGCAUAUAUAUGUAUGUAUAUGCAUAUAUGUAUAUAUAUAUGCAUAAAUAUGUAUGUAUAUGCAUACAUAUGUAUAUGUAUGUAUGUAUAUGCAUAUAUAUAUGCAUGUAUAUGCAUAUAAAUGGAUGUAUAUGCAUAUAAAUGCAUGUAUAUGCAUAUAAAUGGAUGUAUAUGCAUAUAAAUGCAUGUAUAUGCAUAUAUAUGUAUGUAUAUGCAUAUAUAUAUGCAUGUAUAUGUAUAUAUAUAUGCAUGUAUAUGCAUGUAUAUGCAUAUAUAUGUGUGUAUAAGCAUAUAUAUGUAUAUAUAUGUGUGUAUAUGUAUAUAUAUGUAUGUAUAUGCAUAUAUAUGUAUGUAUAUGGUUAUAUAUGUAUAUGCAUAUAUUUUUUAUUUAUUUUAUUUUAUCUAGUUUCAGCUCACGAGCUGUGGCCAUGCUGGGGCACCGCCAUUUGUAUAUACAUAAACAUGCAUAUAUAUGUAUGUAUAUGCAUAUGUAUGUAUUUAUAUGCUUACUAGCAGUAUCGCCCGGCGUUGCUCGGGUUUGUAAGGGAAAUAACUAUAAAGCAUUUUUAGAGAGUUAUAGCCAAAAAAUGGAAAAAAAAUGAUGGUAAUUUUUUUUUUAGUUAAAAAGGUCGAGUUGCAUCCUCUAGACAGUCUGUGGUUUGUGUUUCUGAUUCUCGACCCCAUGUCGAAUUUAUCGAUUUUUUUCAGAACUGGGGGAACUUUUCAAAAUUUUCGCUGCGUUAGUUUUGAAUUAUGACAUUGGGCUAUGUGUGUGUCAAGUUUCAUCAGAAUCGGUUGAAAGCCGUGGUCAGGGUGAGGGUACAACCUACAGACACACAGAAACACACAGAGACAAACUGCCGUUUAUAUAUAGAGAGAUAUAUGUAUGUAUAUGCAUAUAUAUGUAUUUAUAUGCUUAUAUAUGUAUGUAUAUGCAUAUAUAUGUAUGUAUAUGCAUAUAUAUGUAUGUAUAUGCAUAUAUACAUAUGUAUAUGCAUGUAUAUGUAUGUAUAUGCAUGUAUAUGUAUGUAUAUGCAUGUAUAUGUAUAUGCAUGUAUAUGCUUAUAUGUGUAUGUAUAUGCAUAUAUUUAUAUAUAUAUGCAUAUAUAAGCAUACAUAUGUAUAUAUGUGCAUGUAUAUGCAUAUAUAUGUACAUGUAUAUGCAUAUAUAUGUAUAUAUGUGCAUGUAUAUGCAUAUGUAUGUAUAUAUGUGCAUAUAUAUGUAUAUAUGUGCAUGUAUAUGCAUAUAUAUGUAUAUAUGUGCAUGUAUAUGCAUAUAUAUGUAUAUAUGUGCAUGUAUAUGCAUAUAUAUGUAUAUAUGUGCAUGUAUAUGCAUAUAUAUGUAUAUAUGUGCAUGUAUAUGCAUAUAUAUGUAUAUAUGCCCGUCAGUUCAACCUUCGUAUAUUCCCGGUGCACCCGCCCUUGCCCACCCCCACCAUCAAUACCGGAUAUCUCUAUAUUUUUGCUCCAUCUAUACCGGAUGUCGCUUCUCCCACCACCAUUAUAGGUGUCUACUCUUCGAACCCCCUCUUCAAUACGCUAUUUCACCAUGCAUUACCCCUCUCUUGAUAUCCUACGUUCUACUUGCCUAGAACCUGUCAUCAUUUCUCUGAACCACCCCUCCCCACUGGUGCUCCCCUAUAUAUUUCUGCCCCCCCCCCCAUAAAAGCACCAUCUGAACGUGGCCGAUGCCAGACCCCUCUGGCACCUGUGCAGGUGGCACGUAAAAAACACCCACUACACUCGCGGAGUGGUUGGCGUUAGGAGGGGCAUCCAGCUGUAGAAACACUGCCAGACUAGACUGGAGCCUGGGGCAGUCCCGAGCUCCCCAGACCCCGGUCGAAACCGUCCAACCCGUGCUAGCGCGGAAAACGGACGUUAAACGAUGAUGAUGAUGAUGAUGUGCAUGUAUAUGCAUAUAUAUGUAUAUAUGUGCAUGUAUAUAUGCAUAUAUAUGUAUAUAUGUGCAUGUAUAUGCAUAUAUAUGUAUAUAUGUGCAUAUAUAUGUAUAUAUGUGCAUGUAUAUGCAUAUAUAUGUAUAUAUGUGCAUGUAUAUGCAUAUAUAUGUAUAUAUGUGCAUAUAUAUGUAUAUAUGUGCAUGUAUAUGCAUAUAUAUGUAUAUAUGUGCAUAUAUAUGUAUAUAUGUGCAUGUAUAUGCAUAUAUAUGUGCAUGUAUAUGCAUAUAUAUGUAUAUAUGUGCAUGUAUAUGCACAUAUAUGUGCAUGUAUAUGCGUAUAAAUAUAUGU
rnacentral:lncRNA from 1 species